UUAAACUAAAGAGUUUGAUCCUGGCUCAGAUUGAACGCUGGCGGCAUGCUUUACACAUGCAAGUCGAACGGUAACAGGGUGCUUGCACCGCUGACGAGUGGCGAACGGGUGAGUAAUAUAUCGGAACGUACCUAGUAAUGGGGGAUAACUAUCCGAAAGGAUAGCUAAUACCGCAUACGCCCUGAGGGGGAAAGAGGGGGAUCGCAAGACCUCUCGUUAUUAGAGCGGCCGAUAUCAGAUUAGCUAGUUGGUGAGGUAAAGGCUCACCAAGGCCACGAUCUGUAGCGGGUCUUAGAGGACGAUCCGCCACACUGGAACUGAGACACGGUCCAGACUCCUACGGGAGGCAGCAGUGGGGAAUCUUGGACA
rnacentral:rRNA from 1 species